rnacentral:rRNA from 1 species
GUUGAACGCUGGCGGCAGGCCUAACACAUGCAAGUCGAGCGGAUGAAGGGAGCUUGCUCCUGGAUUCAGCGGCGGACGGGUGAGUAAUGCCUAGGAAUCUGCCUGGUAUUUGGGGAUAACGUCCGGAAACGGGCGCUAAUACCGCAUACGUCCUGAGGGUGAAAGUGGGGGAUCUUCGGACCUCACGCUAUCAGAUGAGCCUAGGUCGGAUUAGCUAGUUGGUGGGGUAAAGGCCUACCAAGGCGACGAUCCGUAACUGGUCUGAGAGGAUGAUCAGUCACACUGGAACUGAGACACGGUCCAGACUCCUACGGGAGGCAGCAGUGGGGAAUAUUGGACAAUGGGCGAAAGCCUGAUGCAGCCAUGCCGCGUGUGUGAAGAAGGUCUUCGGAUUGUAAAGCACUUUAAGUUGGGAGGAAGGGCAGUAAGUUAAUACCUUGCUGUUUUGACGUUACCAACAGAAUAAGCACCGGCUAACUUCGUG